rnacentral:rRNA from 1 species
UACGUAGGGUGCGAGCAUUGUCCGGAAUUAUUGGGCGUAAAGAGCUCGUAGGCGGCCUGUCGCGUCGGAUGUGAAAGCCCGGGGCUCAACCCUGGGAUGCCGGUGGAUACUGUCGGGCUCGAGUCCGGAAGAGGAGUGUGGAAUUCCUGGUGUAGCGGUGAAAUGCGCAGAUAUCAGGAGGAACACCAAUGGCGAAGGCAGCACUCUGGGACGUGACUGACGCUGAGACGCGAAAGCGUGGGGAGCAAACAGG